UGGGGAGCGAACAGGAUUAGAUACCCUGGUAGUCCACGCCGUAAACGUUGGGAACUAGGUGUUGGCGACAUUCCACGUCGCCGGUGCCGCAACUAACGCAUUAAGUUCCCCGCCUGGGGAGUACGGCCGCAAGGCUAAAACUCAAAGGAAUUAACGGGGGCCCGCACAAGCAGCGGAGCAUGUGGCUUAAUUAGACGCAACAAGAAGAACCUUACCAAGGAUUGACAUAUACCGGAAAGCAUCACAGAUGGUGCCCCCCUUGUGGUCGACAUACAGGCGGAGCAUGGAUGUCGGCAGCUCGCGCCGGGAGAUGUAGGGUUAAGUCCCGCAACGAGCGCAACCCUUGUUAUGUGUUGCCAGCAUGCCCUUAGGGGUGAUGGGCACUCACAGGAGACUGCAGGGCUCAACUCGAAGGAAGGUGGGGACGACGUCAACUCAUCAUGCCCCUUAUGUAUGGGGCUGCACACGUGCUACAAUGCACGGUACAAUGAGCUGCGAUGCCGCGAGGCGGAGCGAAUCUCAAAAAGCCGGUCUCAGUUAGGAUGGGGGACUGCAACUAGACCCCAUGAAGUAGGAGGUGAUAGUAAUCACAGAUCAGCAAUCAUGCGGUGAAUAA
rnacentral:rRNA from 1 species